rnacentral:rRNA from 1 species
GACGAACGCUGGCGGCGUGCUUAACACAUGCAAGUCGAACGGAAAGGCCCUUCGGGGUACUCGAGUGGCGAACGGGUGAGUAACACGUGGGUGAUCUGCCCUGCACUUUGGGAUAAGCCUGGGAAACUGGGUCUAAUACCGAAUAGGACCACGGCCUUCAUGGGUUGUGGUGGAAAGCUUUUGCGGUGUGGGAGGGGCCCGCGGCCUAUCAGCUUGUUGGUGGGGUAAUGGCCUACCAAGGCGACGACGGGUAGCCGGCCUGAGAGGGUGACCGGCCACACUGGGACUGAGAUACGGCCCAGACUCCUACGGGAGGCAGCAGUGGGGAAUAUUGCACAAUGGGCGCAAGCCUGAUGCAGCGACGCCGCGUGAGGGAUGACGGCCUUCGGGUUGUAAACCUCUUUCAGCAGGGACGAAGCGCAAGUGACGGUACCUGUAGAAGAAGGACCGGCCAACUACGUGCCAGCAGCCGCCGUAA